UACAGAGGUGGCAAGCGUUGUUCGGAAUUACUGGGCGUAAAGGGCGCGUAGGCGGCCCGUCAAGUCCCGUGUGAAAGCCCCCGGCUCAACCGGGGAACGGCGCGGGAAACUAGCAGGCUUGAGUUCGGGAGAGGGAAGCGGAAUUCCGGGUGUAGCGGUGAAAUGCGCAGGAUAUCAGGAGGAACACCGGUGGCGAAGGCGGAUCUCUGGGCCGAUACUGACGCUGAGGAGCGAAAGCGUGGGGAGCGAACAGGA
rnacentral:rRNA from 1 species